GAUGAACGCUGGCGGCGUGCUUAACACAUGCAAGUCGAACGAGAAAUGGAGACGGAAACCUUCGGGCGGAAGGCUUCAUUUCGAGUGGCGGACGGGUGAGUAACGCGUGGGUAACCUGCCUCAUACAGGGGGAUAACAGUUGGAAACGACUGUUAAUACCGCAUAAGACCACAGCACCGCAUGGUGCGGGGGUAAAAACUCCGGUGGUAUGAGAUGGACCCGCGUUCGAUUAGCCAGUUGGCGGGGUAACGGCCCACCAAAGCGACGAUCGAUAGCCGAUCUGAGAGGAUGACCGGCCACAUUGGGACUGAGACACGGCCCAAACUCCUACGGGAGGCAGCAGUGGGGAAUAUUGCACAAUGGGGGAAACCCUGAUGCAGCGACGCCGCGUGAGUGAAGAAGUACUUCGGUAUGUAAAGCUCUAUCAGCAGGGAAGAAAAUGACGGUACCUGAGUAAGAAGCCCUGGCUAACUACGUG
rnacentral:rRNA from 1 species